rnacentral:rRNA from 1 species
CGGGACGGGUGAGUAAUGUCUGGGAAACUGCCUGAUGGAGGGGGGUAACUACUGGAAACGGUAGCUAAUACCGCAUAACGUCGCAAGACCAAAGAGGGGGACCUCCGGGCCUCUUGCCAUCGGAUGUGCCCAGAUGGGAUUAGCUAGUAGGUGGGGUAACGGCUCACCUAGGCGACGAUCCCUAGCUGGUCUGAGAGGAUGACCAGCCACACUGGAACUGAGACACGGUCCAG